rnacentral:rRNA from 1 species
UUAGGGGUAAACCUGAGAAACCCGAAAGGUCGAAGGGAGAAAUUCAUUCGCGUUUCGUUGUUGGCGUGAAGCGGUCGCGUGACGGAAAAUGCGUUCGCGUGUUUUUCGCACCUUCUGUUUUUCGAUCCGAUAACGAACGCGUGCACUUUUCUCCUGGUAGGACGUCGCGAUCCGUUGAGUGUCGGUCUACGGCUCGCGGUGGAGCCCGGACGUACGGCUUGCCGUUACGUCCGGACCCGCGUGUACCACCCGGCUGACUCGCUCGACGGUAUACGAAAGAUUUAAGGCCGCUCUCUUAUAGAGCGUUCGGCUCGUCGCAAGCGCGCCAGUUUUGUGUCGGCGAUCGGACCUGGUGCCGGUUCUGACCUCUGGCGACUGUUGGCGACGAAGCUCUCGAACAGACCUUCAGAUCGAUCUGCGACGCUAUAGCUUUGGGUACUUUCAGGACCCGUCUUGAAACACGGACCAAGGAGUCUAGCAUGUGCGCGAGUCAUUGGGAAUCAUUAAACCUAAAGGCGCAAUGAAAGUAAAAGUCCGCCUUGCGCGGACUUAGGGAAGACGGGCGGUUUACCCUUAAAAGUGGCCGCUCCGCACUCCCGGGGCGUCUCAUUCUCAUCGCGAGAAGAGGCGCACCAAGAGCGUACACGCUGGGACCCGAAAGAUGGUGAACUAUGCCUGGUCAGGACGAAGUCAGGGGAAACCCUGAUGGAGGUCCGUAGCGAUUCUGACGUGCAAAUCGAUCGUCGGAACCUGGGUAUAGGGGGCGAAAGACUAAUCGA